rnacentral:tRNA from 1 species
AUUUAAAUAAUUUAAAAAAAAUAUUGAUUUGUGGUAUCAAAAAUAUGAAAAAUAAAUUCAUUUUAAAUU